GAUGAACGCUGGCGGCGUGCCUAAUACAUGCAAGUCGAGCGAACAGACGAGGAGCUUGCUCCUCUGACGUUAGCGGCGGACGGGUGAGUAACACGUGGAUAACCUACCUAUAAUACUGGGAUAACUUCGGGAAACCGGAGCUAAUACCGGAUAAUAUAUUGAACCGCAUGGUUCAAUAGUGAAUGACGGUUUUGCUGUCACUUAUAGAUGGAUCCGCGCCGCAUUAGCUAGUUGGUAAGGUAACGGCUUACCAAGGCAACGAUGCGUAGCCGACCUGAGAGGGUGAUCGGCCACACUGGAACUGAGACACGGUCCAGACUCCUACGGGAGGCAGCAGUAGGGAAUCUUCCGCAAUGGGCGAAAGCCUGACGGAGCAACGCCGCGUGAGUGAUGAAGGUCUUCGGAUCGUAAAACUCUGUUAUUAGGGAAGAACAAAUGUGUAAGUAACUAUGCACGUCUUGACGGUACCUAAUCAGAAAGCCACGGCUAACUACGUG
rnacentral:rRNA from 1 species